UUUGGUGACUAUACCGCAAGGGCUCCACCUCUUCCCAUUCCGAACAGAGAAGUUAAGCCUUGCAGGGCCGAUGAUACUUGGUGGUUAACACACGGGAAAGUAGGUCGUCGCCAGGG
rnacentral:rRNA from 1 species